rnacentral:rRNA from 1 species
GACGGAGGGUGCUAGCGUUGUUCGGAAUUACUGGGCGUAAAGGGCUCGUAGGCGGCCAACUAAGUCGGACGUGAAAUCCCUCAGCUUAACUGGGGAACUGCGUCUGAUACUGGAUGGCUUGGAUUUGGGAGAGGGAUGCGGAAUUCCAGGUGUAGCGGUGAAAUGCGUAGAUAUCUGGAGGAACACCGGUGGCGAAGGCGGCAUCCUGGACCAACAUUGACGCUGAGGAGCGAAAGCCAGGGGAGCAAACGGG